GACUACAUAUAUGAGUGGUAGGAACUUUGGAUCAAUGGAGAGAAUGUCUCAAUCUUUUUAUCAUUUUUUCUAACUGGUACUCUUCAGAAUGGAACUUCAAGCUGUCUGGCUGUGGUCAAGGUUGUCAUGCUGCUUCCGUGUUGGAAAGAGACCAUGGAUGGACAUCCCAAAGCUGGUUGAAGAAUUCUUAGUUACAAUCUCUAUGAUUGCAUCUCUGAUUACAGAGACCAGUAAAGAAAAUACCUGACCCGAUGUAAGCAUCUGCCAUGUUCAGGGGCUCCAGGCCAGCCUCUCUGUGUGGGAGCAUGAAGCCCGAC
rnacentral:lncRNA from 1 species